UAAUACAGAGGGCUCGAGCGUUAAUCGGAAUCACUGGGCUUAAAGCGUGCGUAGGCGGAUGCAAAGGCACCUUGUGAAAUCCCUCGGCUCAACCGAGGAAUUGCUUGGUGAACCAUGCAUCUUGAGGCAGGUAGGGGUGGCUGGAACGAUAGGUGGAGCGGUGAAAUGCGUAGAUAUCUAUCGGAACGCCAAAGGAGAAGUCAGGCCACUGGGCCUGUCCUGACGCUGAGGCACGAAAGCGUGGGGAGCAAACGGGAUUAGAUACCCCGGUAGUCCACGCCGUAAACGAUGCGCACUAGGUCGGGGAGGCUUUCACGCACUCCCGGCCGAAGCAAAAGUGUUGAGUGCGCCGCCUGGGGAGUACGGUCGCAAGGCUA
rnacentral:rRNA from 1 species